rnacentral:tRNA from 1 species
UAUAAGGUAUCAUAGCUUGGGAAUGAGCAGAACUUUGAAUUCUGUUAGAAAAGUUCGAGACUUUUUCUUAUAG